UAGUCAAGGCGAAUUGAUUAUUGAUUAUUAUCAUCAAGAUAUAAAAUUCUUUUAACAGUCUCUCACAUGGAUUAAUACUGGAGAAUGAGGGCUCGGUCGCCUUCUUAAUUGAGGGAUCCCCUAACCAAAUCACUGUAAAGGAUCAGACCUUUUUCCUGUGACAGACGCAAGUAUGAAACUCUCCAUAUAUCAUUUUGGAUUAAAGUUUGGUUGAAAUUAGAUUGUGUUGAGGUUGCCUUUUACGUUGCCUUACAAAUGUGUGUAAAUGUUUUUGCUCCUACCUAAGCCCCCACUAAAAUCUGUUCUGAAGAGCCAGAAAACAAACCAAUGCCAUUAAAUCCUUGCUUACACUGUAGGCCUGAAUGCUCAAAUCAGUUUUGUUUUCCAAAUCCGUUCUGGAAUACUGACUGUCCAAACUGUAAGUUACAAGUGACCACAUAGGAUGUGUGUGUUCAGACAGCAGUCAUUUGCUGACAUGGCUAAGCUAGUUGUCAUAGUAACAAUGGGUGUGUGCACAGUGGUGUAGGGUGAUUGGUGGUACUCUUGCUUCCUAUCACUUAGAAGUUAAAGAAUGUAGCAAGCUAAGGUGACAAUAAUGCUUUCCAUGGGCGUUUCAUACUGUAAGAAGACUUUUAAAGCCUCAAAGGAUAAGAUGUGACAGUUUGACAUGUGCUUGUCAAACUGUCAACAGACUAGACUAGCUAGCAAGCAACAAUAUAUAAAGGUGGUUUGAAAUGUGGCUUGAAAUAGCUAGUUCCAUGUGCUUUUCGGCUGCAGGAAAAAUAACGGAUUCGAAUAAGAUAUGCAAAAAAAUUGGAUUUGAGUCACUUCAAACUGCCAAUGUGAACAAGGCUUAAGAAGCAAAAGGCUACAAUAACCUAAUAAUCUGCCUAAUAACAGAUAUUUUUUAUGGUUCGGCCACCUUUUUGCAUCACCUGCAGUUGAAGGCAUUAACUUUAAUCAAAUCGCAUUUUAAUGGGAAAAAACAUUAAUUGCUACAGAAUGUAGUAAAUUUAUGUCAAAGCGCAUAUCAAAUUACAUUUUGUUUUACUACAAUGUAAAAACAAUUUAAACUGAGCCAUGUUGGUUUAAAAAGCUGACUCUUCUAAAUGAAAAUUGGUGGUGAGGGGAAAUGGCAAACUAAAACACCACUCAAGCCAGCAAGUGUGGGGAUGGGGAAAUGGCAAACUAAAACGCAAGCCACCAAGCGAUUAUAGUGAGGACCCUUCACAACGCAAGUCAACCCCUUAUUCUCAUUCUUGAUUGAUGUAUUUGGGAAAUGUAUUCUAAUUGUACCAAGAAUUGCCAUAUUGUACAAUAUUUUACUGCAGAGAAUCUUGAGCCUUCAUGCUCCAGGUUUAGGUAAUGUGGGAGACCGAGGUCUCCCUCUGCCUCUUCAGAUGACAGAUCCCCCUCACCAAAGCACUGCAAAGGCUCAGACCCCUUUCCUAUCCUCGAAGCAAAAUUUCACAAAAAGAGUCUUACAUCUCCUUUGUGUGAUCUGUGACCUUCUUAAAGGACAGCGCCCAAGUCUGGUUGAGAAAUUCAACUUCAACCUGAACGAGACAGAGAAAGAUUUACUAAAGAUGGAAGAGCAGCUAACGGACAACGAUUUUCAAAAAUGCAUGAUAUCUUAGGUCUCAAAGCUGAGGGGUAAAGACAUCCCAGACUGGGUGAAGAGAACAAUGCAUUGAACACUGACAAACGGCCUUGUGUUCUAUGCAGAACCCUGACAAACGGCCUUGUGUUCUAUACAGAACCUUGGCAAACGGCCUUGUGUUCUAUACAGAACCCUGACAAAUGGCCUCAUGUCAACAACGACUAUGAAAGGUAACAAAUGGAAAAGGGCCUUUGAGGACUCCAACAUUUGCAGUGUCAUUAUAGCAUGUAUGAGUCUUGGCGAAUCAAAGGCUACAGAGGCAGAUAUAUUACAGGCGAUGUCAACCUGCCUGAAAUAUGCACCUGGCCGCAAGGGGGCCAGUGGGAGGGCCAAUGAGAGUUCUUAAGAAGUUAAAGCAUCAAAGCCUGUUCUGACAGUGCAUUUUUUUGGUUUAUUGUAUAUCUGAUUUUGGUUUCCAGAAGCCUGUGGCAGAAAUUAAUUUUUUGGCUUAUAUAUUUUAUUUUUUUAUCGGCUUUUACAUU